AUGAACGCUGGCGGCGUGCCUAAUACAUGCAAGUCGAGCGAACGGACGAGAAGCUUGCUUCUCUGAUGUUAGCGGCGGACGGGUGAGUAACACGUGGAUAACCUACCUAUAAGACUGGGAUAACUUCGGGAAACCGGAGCUAAUACCGGAUAAUAUUUUGAACCGCAUGGUUCAAAAGUGAAAGACGGUCUUGCUGUCACUUAUAGAUGGAUCCGCGCUGCAUUAGCUAGUUGGUAAGGUAACGGCUUACCAAGGCAACGAUGCAUAGCCGACCUGAGAGGGUGAUCGGCCACACUGGAACUGAGACACGGUCCAGACUCCUACGGGAGGCGGCAGUAGGGAAUCUUCCGCAAUGGGCGAAAGCCUGACGGAGCAACGCCGCGUGAGUGAUGAAGGUCUUCGGAUCGUAAAACUCUGUUAUUAGGGAAGAACAUAUGUGUAAGUAACUGUGCACAUCUUGACGGUACCUAAUCAGAAAGCCACGGCUAACUACGUG
rnacentral:rRNA from 1 species